CAGAGCUGUGAUGGCUGUGGUGAUGAGCCUGAGGAAUGCUGCUGGCAUUGAGAGCUCUCUGCUGUGUCACACAUUCCUGUGUUUUGCAGUCACAUUAGGAUCUGAAGGAAUUAGCCCCAGGAAAGCUCAGAGUUUAUUUCAGACUGGGGAGAGCUACUAAGAACACAGCUGAGUACAAGUACAAAGAAGUCAUGAGAAGAAUGAUUAUUUUCCAAGUGUGGAUCUUUGAAUUUUAAAAUGAAUGUUGGCCUUGGCUUCAAGAGCCACCAUGCUUUGAAAGAUAAAUUAUAAGAUGCAGAGACUACAUAUGGUUACAAUAAAAAGAAACAUUCACAAAGAUGAUUAUUUAGCACACCUCCCAGAUCUGGUACCACCAUUCCAGAGAUCUUGCACACCUCUUCCUCAGUCUUCUCAGUUCAAUGGAUAGCUGGUAGAAUCAUCCUCAGACUCAGGAAAGAUUAACCCAUCCAUACAAAGGAUAAAUCUAGAUUGCCUGAAGUUUUCUAUUAUCUAGCCAUCAUGGUUGUUUUGUGUGUCCUGAGAAAUUAGGGGAUCAUCCACUUUUUCUUGCUCAGAAGGUGUCAGUGACCUGUGUUCAAAAGCCUGAGAAAUCUCUGCCCUAUGAUGUGGCAUUGGGGUAGUACCACUGCAUGAGAACAAGCAGACUGUCAACAUUACCUUUAAAUUGGAUGAGAAAGCCCUUUUGGAGUCACUGAAAGUACACGCAUCAUACUGUCAGAAGCUGAAUAGUCAGCCAGAAGUCAGAUUGUUACUUCAGGUAACAAACAUUAGGAGGAAAAAAUAUGUAGCCUACACUGGUGAUCCAAUACAAAAUAGUAUACAUAUUAGACUGCAUGUGGGUGUUCAUUUCUGGUAGUUUUGGGAACAUGAAUGACACAUAUCGGAUAUGAUGGGCCAUUAAGAAGAAAUUGUUUAGAAAUUAAUGACCAAGAAAAUAUUGUCAAGCAAGUCUGGUUAAUCACGAAAAAUCUGCACCUCUACAGACAAUUGACACAUAGGUUGCAUGUCAGCCAACCAGAUGUGCUAUUUCAAGGUGUUUAAUACAGCAAUGGUGACUGAAGUGGCAUUUAACUCUGCCACUCUUUCCCCACCCCAAGUCUCACUUGGGCACAGGACCAAGUGGGAUGAAGAAAGAGUAGGAAGAGUAGUAGGAACUAGUGGGGAUAUCUCAAAGGAUCCCCAAAAUUAAAGAUUAGGCAGCUGGGGGUGACAUGCUACAAGAGAGAGCACAGAAAAGAGCAAAGAGAGAGCACAGAGAAGAGGCAAUAUCAGAUAAAAGGCAUAGCUGGAAGAAAAAUAAGGAAACACUGAGGAAACUCAUUGGAGAGGUCAUACAGAGACCCAGAUGGGUGACAAAGACAAUCCUAGGGCAACUCACUUGAGGCCUGGCUAGAAAGAAUGAAAGAGCUGGCUUUAGGAGGUGAGGGAUGCUAGUGAAGUUCACUCAGGGAUCAAAGAGGAUAAAAGCAAAGCAGCAGG